UGUAAAACUAAGUAAUAUAUCAUUGAUCGUAAAUGUCACCUUCUCAAAUCCAUCCAGCCUGAAUCCGAUCUGGAAGAUGAGAAUGGACAGCACGAACAUGCGCAGCAACGAAGAUUACAGCUAGACAUCUCUGAUAGGAUCUGUAAAGAUGGCGGACAGUACUCCUCGUCAGCUCAAGACCAAACAUCGACAAACUCCUGCUAGCUACACACCAGCAGUACAUUGCUCAGCUUCUGGACCGUUACUCCUGGCUGCUUCUCUUUUCUCUUCUUCUUCCGGGAGUGCGCCGACCUGAAUCUACUACAGGUAACACACUGGCUAUAUGGCUCAUACAACCCCAA